rnacentral:misc_RNA from 1 species
GAUGAAGAACGCAGCGAAAUGCGAUAAGUAAUGCGAAUUGCAGAAUUCAGUGAGUCAUCGAAUCUUUGAACGCACAUUGCGCCCUGUGGUAUUCCGCAGGGCAUGCCUGUUCGAGCGUCAUUUCAACCCUCAAGCCUCGCUUGGUGUUGGGCCCUGCCCGCCGCGGCCGGCCCUAAAGAUAGUGGCGGCGCCGCCUGGCCCUCAGCGUAGUACAGCUCUCGCUCCAGGGUCCGGCGGCAGCCUGCCAGAACCCCCCAACUCUGUGGUUGACCUCGGAUCAGGUAGGGAUACCCGCUGAACUUAAGCAUAUCAAUAAGCGGAGA